rnacentral:rRNA from 1 species
UACGUAGGCAGCAAGCGUUGUUCGGAGUUACUGGGCGUAAAGGGUGCGUAGGCGGCUCUGUAAGUAUGGUGUGAAAUCUCCCGGCUUAACUGGGAGGGUGCGCUAUAGACUGCGGGGCUCGAGUGUGGGAGAGGAAAGUGGAAUUCCUGGUGUAGCGGUGAAAUGCGUAGAUAUCAGGAGGAACACCGGUGGUGUAAACGGCUUUCUGGACCAUAACUGACGCUGAGGCACGGAAGCGUGGGUAGCAAACAGG